rnacentral:lncRNA from 1 species
AUGCUUUACCUUUUUCGAGAGCUUCCAAAUGACGUAUAGCCUCGUCCUUAUCUUGACAAAAUAAAGUUAAAACAAGAUUUAGCACUACGUAAAAUGAAAUAUAACCUCCAUCAAAUGGCCCUCCCUUAUCCCGCUUCUUUGCAUUCAAAUAACCACAAUUCAUAAUCUCAUGCCCCUUCAUUCCCUCCUCAAAUGCUUCUUCGAAUCACAUAUUACUACCAUAAAAAAACAAAGUCCUCGUCCUCAUCAUCAAACCAGUCACCAUCAUCAUUGUAGGACAGGGCACAGCAGGUAAUCAUAAUUUUAAAGCCCAAUUUACAAUAUGCUACGUUUGCCUAAUACGAUGCAAUCUGCUUACAAUUUGAGUAUAGUAUAGUGCAAAUAAGUCUUAACAGGUUCUGUGAUUGGUUGAUUGUAAUGGCAAUUUUUAUUGGAAAGAGUCACAAACAUUGUUCGCACAGAAGCCAUAAAAACAUGAAUGUUUAUAUUGGCUUCGUGCUUGUUGUCAAUUUUACAUGUUAUAUCUAUACACCAACACAGACGUCUUCAUCAUCACCACAAGUUAUACAUGAAAAACUAGUACACAAAUCGACACUCAUAACCCUGACUACUAAGAUUUCCUCCCAAC